AGACUUCUGUUUCAGUCAUUCCAGAUGCAUUUAUUAUCUGUAGAGUUUACCGAGGAAGAAUUAGUAUCAGGGAAAUGCUGAAAUAUAAAUUUAACAAAGGAUUUUAAGUUUGACUUAGAAAGAGAAUUUUUUGAGAAUUUAAAAUUGUUAGUAGUUAAAAGUUGUAAAAUUUGGGAAUAAAAGCCUUUUUCUAUGGAAGAGAGGGAGGGUUUGGUGAGCUUGGUCCCCAUAGAAACUCCAAAAACAGCCAAGCAGUUGAAGGAAAAGGAAAAAACAAAGAACCUUUCAGAGUGAUCCAAAUUUAAAAAGCGCGCGAAUUGAGGGCUAGUGCUCACCCACUUAGCCACACGGUCACGAAGUCUGUUGGCCGCUGCUAGCGGUCUCAGGUCCCGGAUCCGGAUUCCAGGGUUGUCUGGACUUGCCUCCGUGUAACACCCACCUUUAUAAAACAAAGAUGAGCAUACCGAGACUGUUUGACGCUGGCGAAGGCAGCGAGAAGGAAACUGCUCACCGUUCUUCCGAGGGGGGUCAGAGGAACUGUACGGGUGCCAAAAAGUAACUGUUCCCAGGGAGAUUUCUUUUCCACCCCGGGUCUGCUGCAGGAGUUCCAAUAGGUUCAGGAAUGGGUUGGUGGGUGUUUGAAAUGGGUCAGCGGUCUUCUAAUGAUGAAGUCAGGGAGUUUUCCUCACCUUGAACUUUUCAUCUUUGUCUAAUUGCUAGGUUCUCAUGCUCUUUGGCCAUGGAUCAAGUUCCCAACCUGGUUCUGGCUGGCUUCAGAGCCCAGCCUGGAGUGGAGGAGGCUCAGAUUUGCACAAGGCUACUCUGAGUGCUAGGGGAUGGAUGAGAGAAAUGGUGGGGUGAAGGUAGGGAGGGAGUCUGAUUGAUUGUAAGCCAUAAAGGGCCUUGAUUUUCAUAUAUGUUCGGACUGCAUGAGGAGGUUUCUGGGGAUCAAUGUCAGCUGGAGAUUGCUGAUACCAAUUUAUAAACGGGGAAAGAAUAUAUGGGGAAAAAAGACCUUCUCUCUUUUUGUUUUGGAAUGAAAUACGUUUUGAAUGGGGUGAAAGCUUAGACAAGAGCUACCUUAUCCUCAGGUUUCUGGCAGAAGCUCUGUUUCAGGUGACCUGCACCCCAAAUUGCUCUUGCUCCCAAGUUCUUUAGCAUGGCUGAUUAGAUCUGUUAUAAAAUGAAUUAUUUACUGAAUGGACUCAAGAUUUAUGGAUUCCAGAUGCAUUUAUUAUCUGAAGGGAGACUGACCGCAGAAGCCCGAACAUCCAGUGGUACAUAGUUCUUAUAUAGGUUUCUGGGGGAUUCAAAAUCUAACCAAUAAAGGCUUAUACAUUACAAACUAACCAAUUACCUUAAAAUCCUAGGUGAGAACAUAAACCAAUUAUCAUCCUAGUUUAAUAGCCAAUAAAAACAGUUUCGAUUCCCGAAAAUGAUGCAUGCAGUGGGGAAUUCGAGUUAUCUCCUUAAGAGAUAAGAUGCCAGGGGCCUGGUUUGGGGGAAAUAUUUCCUACACUCACCAGUUCAAAGUCAAGAAUGAUUUACAUCUGUGAAAUGCCACUUCCU
rnacentral:lncRNA from 12 species